rnacentral:lncRNA from 1 species
AAAAAAGGACAAUCAGCCAUUUUCCAUCCAGGAUUGAGAACCAAAAACCUAGAGGACCCUUCUCCUUCAUCUUCCAUAUACCAAAACCCCUAGAGACAAAAACCCUUACCCCCUGCACAAAACAAUCUCACCACUCCAUCUUCAUCUUCUUGACGCCAUCGCCGACCAGACCUCACCACCCAACGACCACUCCCUGAACUAGUAGCCAUGGCUCCUCUUACCCAGACAUGAAGCCCAGCCGUUACCCCCACCAAAACCAGCGACUCCUCAUUCCUUCACCAAGCAAACAACUACCAAACCCGCCGGAAAAUGACCCCCUAACACCAUAGAACGUCGCUCCCUCACCCAUCUUCCUCUCUGCCAUAGACGAGAAACACACACACACACACACACACACACAUACAACGAUAACACAACAUCUCUCGGCAAAGCUCCAAAAUCAGUUGCUCCUUUCUCCAUAGAUUUGGACCUUAGAACUAUUGCAUUACAAUUCAUUCUUCAAGGAAUAACGCAACAACAAAGCUAGUAAAUUCAGUAGCUAUAGCUUCCCCAUUUCACUCCCAAUACAGUUCCAAACAGUCACUAAUUUCACAUCCAAAAAAUACGUCGGAGUCGAUCCAAGGAAUGCGCGGAGUUACGAGAUUUUCCGGUGAGUUUUCCAUGUUCUAGUCGCGGUUUUGCUCAUUGUUGAGUUUCACAAUAAUAAAAGUCAGGUCCUUCAUUUGAGUUCUACCCUUCAUCUUUGUUUCUUUUAUACGACUUGGCAUUUCUUUUAACUGAUUAUCUUAGCGCAGUUUUCUAUACUUUUGUGAACGAUGAUUCUAUGUUAGAUUUAAGUUGCUCUUAAUGCUUGAACAUGUUUUUCAUGCCUGAAGGGCUAUCUUAUCUUCUUGUACUCGUUGAUUUGAAAAUUUUGAGCAUGCUAAAUGGUUUAAGUUAAUACAGUAGAAUUUUCAUUGAUUUUAAGUGGAUACAUAAGAUAUGAAUGAGUUAUUUAGUAGUGGCGUGAGUUUUUGAACUAAAAUAUAAGUUUGAGUCCUUGGAAUUUUGGGUGGGAUUGGGAAUUAAAAAAAGGUAUAAAAUAAAUAAGUUUUCAUGUCAGCUGGAGGAUAAUUUCAAUAAUACUUCAAUUUGGAACAUAAUUCUUUGAGUUAUUGAUUCAUGCCUACGAAGUGCUUAGAUCGUUAGGAAGAGCAAAUUCUUUAAAUAAGUUGAGGUGUGCCAUCCAAUCACAUAGUCUAUGGCCCUCACUUUAAUAUUAUAACUUAGAUACUAAACAAUCUUGACCGUUCGUAGUUUGCUUUAGGCGCGAUUUAAUAUACUAUCGUGGUGGUGUACACGUUCGCGUGACAUAAUUACGAUUUUAAAAAAAAACGUAAUCAGAGUAUGCGUUCGCGCAACUUCGACUAAACUUUCUUAAUAAUAAUAAAGUGUUACUAAUUGUGGACACGUUCGUGUGACAUGAUUUUUGACGCGCCAAACAAAUGGGUACACGUGCGCGUGACCUGUUUCAAGAUAAUUUCUAAAUUAAAAAGGUAAAUGCACAUAGGUUCUAAAAUAAGUAAUUAGACAAUUUUAAUAAGCCAAGUAUGAUCAAAGCGACCGUGCUAGAACCACGAAACUCGGGAAUGCCUAACACCUUCUUCCGGGUUAAUAGAAUUCCUUAUCCAGAUUUCUAUAUUUGCAGACCACAAAUAGAGUCAAACUUCCUCGAUUCAGGAUUUUAAACCGGUGACUUGGGACACCAUAAAUUAUCCCAAGUUGUGACUCUGAAUUUUAAAUAAAAUAAUUGUCGUGCCCCCUUUAUCUCGCGAAAUCGGGUUUAUGACAUUUGGAGGGGCAACUCGUUCCUUUUGGGAACUGGGUUUUGCAUUUGAAGAGUCACCACCUAAUGAUUAAGGUGCAUUAGGACACCAAUAGAAAUUUAAUUCUAAAUCAUUUGAAUAACCAGAGAUUGGGUAAGGGCUUGAAAUUAUCCCAAGGGGAAGGUGUUAGGCACACUCAGGAUCCACUAGUGUGGUUCCCGGCCAAACAGUUAUUGUGAAUUUAGCAAAUAAGCAAGUAUGGGCUCAAAUAUUAGGGGAUUUAAACACAUAAAGAAAGAACAUUUGAAAGAAGUGUUUGUUUAAAAAAAAGAGUUUGCAAAUAAAGGAAAUGGGCCCUAAGUUUAUAUUUAUGGAUCACCCCACAUAAUGUCCGGUAAUCACUCCUCAAUGAGGGGCUAUACGUGACAUUAUCGCGUGGUCAUCAUAUCCAUAUCUACACUUCCCACCCCGUUAAGGUAUAAAAGCGGGGAUUGGUUUCAAUUACUUAUUGCAUGCUAUUACCUGUCCCAUUCCUAUCAGUCCUGGAGGUACUUAGGACUAUUAAUCCUAAAAGGGAGGGGUAUUAGGGUGAUUUGAAGUUCCAAAGGUAAAAAUCUAGGGCGACAUAUAAAAACAGAUAAUAUGGCAUAUAAAGGGAAGCAUGUAAACAGACAAAGGCUCAAAUACACCUCUUUGAACAGAAGCACAUAACUAGCAUGACUUGCACAUACAUUUUAGGUCUAAUUAAAUACUAAAGCCGAGGGGAGCCCGAUUAUUGAAGCAGUUUAGUUUAUUACAUAACUCAGGUAAGAAGUUCGAAUCAGGCUUGCCUGCUGGUUGUAGCGAUUAGCAAAAGCGGAUCCAGUUUACAGUUAUUAUACUAAGGCUUGCCUAAGUGUAUAUUGAUGAUACCCAAUAAGCAUGAUAUCCACUGAUUUCAGAAGGUGAUGAGACAGUAAAAACUCGAAACGAAUUAUUUGAAAUCCUAUAGGCAUGCUUGCUAAACCUUGUUAAGUGAGGGAAUUAGACUAUUAUAAGGAGAUUUAGAAUGGACAAAAUUAAACAGACUGGUUAUAGAUUCUGCAGGUAAUAAUAUCUACUAUUAGUGAUUUUAAUCCCUAGGAGCAUGAUAUAUAACAUUGACUAUGAAUGAAGCGAAUCCGAAUUUCACUUAUGAACCCCUAUAGGCAUGAUUUCUAGAUGUUACUAAUUUUAACACAUUACUGGAUUAUAACCACUUGGCCCCUAACACAUGAUAUCUAAACGGUGACAAACAUGCAGAACUUUAGAAUGAAAUCCUAUAGGCAGGUUAUCUAGAUGUGAAGUUGAACAAGAAGUCCUAUAGACAUGGUUUCUAAAUGCAGUUUGCUGAAUUAAUAUACCCUAUAGGCAUGAUUUCUAAAUGCAUUUUGCAUAAUUAAAAUACCCUAUAGGCAUGAUUUCUAAAUGCAGUUUAUAGAAUUAAAAUACCCUAUAUGCAUGAUUUCUAAAUGCAGUUUGCAGAAUUAAAAGACCCUAUAGGCAUGAUUUCAAAAUGUAGUUUGAAUAUGCAGAAUUUAAAGUAGUCCUAUAAGCAUAUUUUCUACCCUUGCAUCAUUUUUACUAGCCAUCCCCAAAUGUUUAUUACAAAUUAUUACAAACCAGGAAUACUAAAUACAUCAGAAAAAUACAACAAAAUAACAGCCAGAGGAAGUCUGAUUCUUGACUUCCUCACUGAGUUAUGAGAUGAACCAACUCAAAAUACCAUUGAUCCAAAGCCUUUCUCAGCCUUGAGUGUGUCAGAGUUCCCUAAGGGCUUCAAUAGGACCCCGAGCAGUGCUCACACCCAAGUUUCAUAACCAAAAUAGGGAAAAGUGCAGUGUGGAAAUGUCAGCCCUCAUGUAUCCAAGUUCAGAGUGAUGUCACGGGUCCCAAGGCAAGGCUCACAUGAGGGGGGCAGAACUUAAGUCUAAGAGGAGAGUGCAAGUGCAGAAAUAGAGCUUUAAGAACUAAGGAAGUAAACAAGGGGGAAAGAGGUGCUGGGAAACAGCCAUUAACACUUCAAACAAGUUGAUAAUUUCAUACCAUGGGGUUUGGGAAUCCAUUGCAAAGAGCCUAUAUACUUAGGCAUGAGUCAAUUCUAGGCAUGGACAACAAUAGGGAGUGUUGUCAUUCUUGCAAAAUCAACUAGAACAUACAACAUAUAAGGGAAACAUAGAGGUUAUGAUCCUAGGAGGAUCAAGUUUGGGUCAUGCUCAGCAAUGUUCAAUGCUAUCAUGCCCCAAACAAACCAUAGGUAUUAAACAUACUGGGGUAGGGAUUUAGGAUUCAUAAUCCAUUAAUUCAGAACAGGAGAAAAAAUAAGGGUACUGAAUUAAAUAUAAGCAGUAGGCAGACAAGAAUGCAAGAAUCAUUAAGUAACCAUGUUGUGGUUGAUGCUGAAAACUUAAUUAGAACAUACCUGUCAAAGAAGCAAAGUGAAGUAAGGAAAAGUAGCAGGACUUCAAAAUAUAGCUUUGGCUUUCAGCCAGCUAAACAGGACACAGUACCAAUAACAAAGCAAGAGAGAGUGUUUUGAGUGUAAGUGUGAGUUCAAAACUAAAAGUGUUCGUGUGUUUGUGCUAAUGAGGGAGUAUGUAUAGAUAGUAGUUCGAAACCAUGUAAAAUAAGGCAAGAAUUAUAAUUGUAUAGUAAUUAUGGAACCAAGUACUAAUCAGAAUCAAAUCAAUGUAGGUACUCCUUUAAUUAAGGGGCAAUCAACCAACGGUAAUAGACAAAAAAUGUUUAAGGAAAGAAAUCAAGUAGAGCAUCAUUUACAGAGUAGAAAAUAAGGGGUAAGUACAUAGGGGUUCAAUUAAGGAAACAACCAAUGAAGAAUCAGUAAAAUACUCGGUUAACCAAAUAAGGUAAGAAAACAAAAUAAAGUUGCAGAAUAUGGAGAUAAUCGAAAAUCGGCACAUAAUAAAUCAGGGAAUCAAGGAUUCGAAAUUACUGAUUUAAGGAGAGUAACAUGGGUUCCCAUGAAUAAGAAAUAAACCAAGUUAAAAUAGGAGAAUCGAAAGUCUAAAGGGAAAUUUUCAAAUCAAGCCAAGAGACAAGGAGCUCAGAGUCAAUCAAAGAGAGAGUCACGAAUCAUGUUUUACCAUAUAAAUAGAGUGAGAUAUGAGUAACCAAACAUAGCAAGCAAAGAGGAAAGUCUUGACCAGUCAAGACGAACACAAGCACAUAGAGCUGAUGUAAGUUAGGCAUAAGACUACUCAGUAGAAACACAUUCGAAGCGAGAUAGUCACAGAAACUCAAACAAGAACAGACCAGUCACAAAAUCAAACGAAGAAACCUAAAAAAAUUAGGGCUUUCAACAUAGGCGAGUUAAAGAGAAGAUAGAAAUUCAGAAUCAAAAGAAUCACACAAAGAGAUUUUGAAAAGGAACUUCUACACUUAAACGAACAGUCUCAGACCCAAAACCAUAAGAUUUUUAACAAUAGAAGGGUUUUUUUUUUAAAAAAAAAAGAUAAAUAGACAGAUCAGACAAAAGCCUAAGCAAACAAAUAUUCAUUUAAUAAAUAGUUAAAAGAAAUUAGGAGUUUUAACAUGCAAACUCAGGCAGAAGGAUAAUACAGCAAAACAUGUCAAAAAUCAAAGACAGGUUUCGAAAUAACUUAAACAGAACCUUAAUCAGAAAGAUAAGGGGUUUUGAUGGUAGAGUUUUAAAAGAAACUUUGAGAAAAAUGUUUAGAAGUUUAGAGCAAACACAGAUCUGAAACAGAUCUAGAACAAAUCGGAAGAACCUUAGAGGCUAGGGCUUCAGAAGAACCCCAAGUGGUGAGAAAGGCUUUGAAAAUCAUCGAUCUUAGCGGAAAGUCAAGAGUCGGACUCGAAUAGCCAUGGCUGGCCAGAGAAAGGUCAAAGACGACCAGAGAAUGUCCAUAAAAUGAAAUCGACCAAGGUCUGGACCAAGAUUUCUCAAUAUCUAGCCUUGAAACCAUAAUAAUCGAGCACGCAGGAGCCAUGUGAGGUGGAUACAGGCCUCCGAUGACCUUGGAAGCCAUGGAUUUGGAAGGUUUUAGGGUUGUAGUUGAUGUCGGCGGCUAGGGUUGGAGAGGGUUUGAGAGAGGAUUGGGAGAUAAGGGGAUUCAGAGGCGGCUAGGUGUGUGAAAUGGUUAGGGUUAGGGGGUAGUUUGAGAUUAAAAAAGGAAAGGAUGGAUGUUGGCCGUUGAUCUGAAUGAUCAACGACCUGGAUUAAAACGGGCGAGUGGGCGGGUUAUGAAGAUGGGUUUGGUUCGGGUUAAAUUAGAAUUGGUUCGGGGGUUCAAAUAGUUUCAAUUGAGUUCAAUUGGGGUGCCAAAUCAGGAUAAAGUUGAAAUAAAAUGGGGCUAACAUUUAAAUAGCCACGUUUCCCUGUUUGAUUUAUAAAAAUAGUAAGAUAAAUUCUGAAAAUAAAUUAAAAGUACUAAAAUUGUUAACAGUACAUAAUUAUCAAAUUAAAAUACUGGACUUAAUUUUUAUAGAUAUAAAUGUAAUUAAUUCUAAAAGAGGCUAAUAUUGCAAUUAUAUGCAAUUUAGCUUUAAAAAUACUAAAUAAUUUUGCAAAAAUAUGAAAAAAUUAUAUUAGCUAUAUUUUAGCAUAAAUAUGAGAAUCCAAUAAAUGGAUCACCCAAAAAUGAUAUUUUGUAAAUAAUUAUUGGUUUUUCUGAAUAAAAUUGGGCAAUAAGUUGAUUUAAAAAAUCUUUAAAAAUUAAAGAAAAAUAAUAAAAUAUCUAGGCACACUUAUAUAUGUUUACAUAUACUAUUUUGAAAGUAUUUUGCAUAUUAAAAAUAUACAGAAAAAAAUCGGGUAUCAAUAGCUGCCCCUCUUUACCCGUGAAGGAUGGAAGAUAUGUCGGGUAAAGAUAUGAUGGCUAAUUUGACUGAACAAAAUAGUUCGAGGAGGCUUAGGUCGUGCCAUGGCUUCUGAACUGCCUACAUAUCCCUGAUUUUAUAGGAAUCAGGCCAUAUGUAGUUCAGGAUCCGUUGGCGGAGUAUACUAAUGGAGAUUUUCAAGAACGGAUGCAAUCUAUAGGGUCGGGUGUGUGGAAUGUUUAGGUUUGAUAUGGCUGCGGGAACUGGAACGGGAUCGCUCCUACCGAGAUGGUCGUUGCUUGCCAGUUUACCUGCAAACAAACAAUACAAACAUAUAUUGUGCAUAAAUUUAAACAUGAUGCAAUUUCCCGUCGGACCAUAAGGAUUGUCUUCGGACGGUUAGAAUGACGUUCUCAGACCAUGAUGUCCUGGGCCAUGAAGCGUAUAGUAAAGGAUUCACAGGCCAUGAAAUGAUGCUCUCGGGCUAUGAGGAUGAUGCCUCCGAACCAUGAUGCCUUUGAAUAAUAAUAUGCAAAAGAUUGAAAGGGGUCCUCAGGCCAUGACAUGGCGUUCUUGGGCUAUGAAAAUGGUGCCUCUGAACAAUGACGCCUUCGGAUGGUUUGGCGAUCUUUCAGCCCAUGCAAUGCAGUAGGUGGCGAUCUUUCAGCCAUGCAAAUGUAGAUAGGGUGGCGAUCUUUCAUCCAUGCAACUGUAGAUAGGGUGGCGAUCUUUCAGCCAUGCAAAUGUAGAGGUGGCGAUCUUUCAGCCAUUCAGAUGUGGAGGUGGCAAUCUUUCAGCCAUGCAAAUGUAGAGGUGGCGAUCUUUCAGCCAUGCAAAUGUAGAGGUGGCGAUCUUUUAGCCAUGCAAAUGUAGAGGUGGCAAUCUUUCNNNNNNNNNNNNNNNNNNNNNNNNNNNNNNNNNNNNNNNNNNNNNNNNNNNNNNNNNNNNNNNNNNNNNNNNNNNNNNNNNNNNNNNNNNNNNNNNNNNNNNNNNNNNNNNNNNNNNNNNNNNNNNNNNNNNNNNNNNNNNNNNNNNNNNNNNNNNNNNNNNNNNNNNNNNNNNNNNNNNNNNNNNNNNNNNNNNNNNNNNNNNNNNNNNNNNNNNNNNNNNNNNNNNNNNNNNNNNNNNNNNNNNNNNNNNNNNNNNNNNNNNNNNNNNNNNNNNNNNNNNNNNNNNNNNNNNNNNNNNNNNNNNNNNNNNNNNNNNNNNNNNNNNNNNNNNNNNNNNNNNNNNNNNNNNNNNNNNNNNNNNNNNNNNNNNNNNNNNNNNNNNNNNNNNNNNNNNNNNNNNNNNNNNNNNNNNNNNNNNNNNNNNNNNNNNNNNNNNNNNNNNNNNNNNNNNNNNNNNNNNNNNNNNNNNNNNNNNNNNNNNNNNNNNNNNNNNNNNNNNNNNNNNNNNNNNNNNNNNNNNNNNNNNNNNNNNNNNNNNNNNNNNNNNNNNNNNNNNNNNNNNNNNNNNNNNNNNNNNNNNNNNNNNNNNNNNNNNNNNNNNNNNNNNNNNNNNNNNNNNNNNNNNNNNNNNNNGAGGUGGUGAUCUUUCAGCCAUGCAAAUGUAGAGGCAGCGAUCUUUCAGCCAUGCAAAUGUAGAUAAGGCGGCGAUCUUUCAGCCAUGCAAAAUGAAGAUAAGGUGGCGAUCUUUCAGUCAUGCAAAUGCAAAGGUGGCGAUCUUUCAGCCAUGCAAAUGCCGAGGUGGCGAUCUUUCAGCCAUGCAAGUGUAGAUGGAGGUAGAGCUUAACCUCGAAAGGUAGAAUGGUAGCCUUAUGCAAUGCAGAAAAUGCAGAUGGUGACAACGUUUAGUCUCAGAAGGCAGAAUGGUAGCCUUAUGCAAAAAAUAAAAGGGCAAAUUGUAAUAGAGUUUUCUUAGCUGAUAGAGGAUUGCGGUAUCGUGACUGUUGGGGACAUCGUGACAUACUGAAUGCCACUGGUGCGUAUGGAUAGCAAAUGUUGGUAAGUGCAACAGUUCUGAGAGUUGUAUUCCUGAACAAUGUUUGUCUCGUGAGUGUAUGGUAUGUCAGAUGCUUUCGCAAUCUGAGUGCCUUCAUCCAAAGAAAAAUCGUGAGUUUUAUAAAGGGGGAAGGUUAGUUUGCAUCCCCGCUGGCUCUGCUGGACCUGUUCGGCUCUAAUCUGGUGAUGUUGUAUAUAUCAUUGGGGUAGCAUUGCUAAACAAGGAAAUUUUAGUAAUAAACAUGCAUGAUUUUCUUAAAAAUAUUAUAUAAGUAUAUAAUUAAGAAACAACUUUUAGAUGAACCGAUAACUGUAACGUGGUUCAGGACGUUUCAACCUCUCUUGCUACGGAAUUUUGAGGGUCCUCCUCAAAAUUCUGCCCCAGUUUCCAAUUGCGGGCGAAAUGAAAAUUUUAUUGAAUUGUGACCGAACCCAUAGGGCUGCCUACGUAUCCCCUCUUAAACGGGAAUCAGGUCAGGCGUAGUUCAAUUUACAUCAUAUAGGAAAGCAUAAAGAUUACACAUAGUAAUGCUUGACUGCAUCUGAAUUGAUCGGCUUUGGCCAGACUUCUCCGUCCAUUUCUGCAAGUAUGAGGGCUCCUCCUGUCAAAACCUGAUGAACCAUGUAUGGACCCUGCCAGUUGGGAGAGAACUUCCCUUUGGCUUCAUCUUGAUGCGGGAAAAUUUUCUUUAACGUAAGCUGCCCUGGUGUGAACUGUCUAGGCUUGACUCUUUUGUUGAAAGCUCUAGACAUUCUGUUCUGAUAGAGUUGACCAUGGCAAACCGCGUUCAUUCUCUUUUCGUCUAUAAGGGCUAAUUGCUCAUAACAACUUUUCACCCACUCUGCGUCGUCAAGCUCAGCUUCGUGUAUGAUCCUUAGGGAAGGAAUUUCUACCUUGGCAGGAAUGACUGCCUCUGUACCAUAAACCAGUAUAUAGGGGUUGCCCCGGAUGAUGUGCAGACUGUGGUGCGAUACCCCAAUAAAGUGAAUGAUAGUUUCUCGUGCCACUGCUUAUGCUUCUCUAUCAUUUUCCUUAGUAUCUUGUUGAUAUUCUUAUUGGUGGCCUCUAUGGCUCCAUUCAUCUAAGGUCUAUAGGCUGUAGAAUUUUUGUGUCGAAUCUUGAAGGUUUCACACAUAGCUUUCAUCAAGUCACUGUUGAGGUUGGAACCAUUAUAAGUAAUGAUUUAUUCUGGAAUACCGAAUCGACAAACAAUGCGGUUGCGGACAAAGUUUGCCACGACUUUCUUAGUCAUUGCUUUGUAAGAUGUCGCUUCGACCCAUUUGGUGAAAUAGUCGAUGGAUACCAAGAUAAAUAUAUGUCCAUUGGAAGCGACAGGCUCGAUUGGUCCAAUAACAUCCAUCCCCCAAGCGGCAAACGACCAUGGUGAGCUUGUUGCAGUAAGCUCAUUUGGAGGUUCCUUUAUCAUGUCUGUAUGUAUCUGGCAGUGAUGGCAUUUCUGGACAUACUGGAUGCAGUCCGUCUCUAUAGUCAUCCAAAAGUAACNNNNNNNNNNNNNUUUCCGUAUGCUUCUUCCUCAACAUGGGCGCAAUAAUCUGGCUGAUCAUGGAUUUUUACCAGAAUGGGAUCAAUGAAGUUUUUGUCUGGAUGUUGUAUCAUGGAUGAUAGGGUAGCCAAUGCAUCGGCGUACUCAUUCUGGACUAUGGGAACAUGUUGGAAUUCCGUCUUUGUGAAUUUCUUUCUCAAUUCUUGUAUAUGAUGUAGAUACGGGAGUAUCUUGGAGUUCUUCGUUGCCCAUUCUUCUCAGACCUGAUGUAUAAGUAGGUUCAAAUCUCCGAUCACUAGCAACUCUUGAAUGUUCAUGUCAAUGGCCAUCUUGAGACCUAAUAUGCAGGCUUCGUACUCGGCCAUGUUGUUGGUGCAUGGGAACCUGAGUUUGGCAUACACCGGAUAAUGCUGACCAGAUUCCGAUACAAGGACUGCUCCUAUGCCAACUCCUUUGAAAUUUACUGCUCCAUCGGAAAACAUUCUCCAACCAUCAUAGAAUUCUGCAAUGUCUUCUCCUAUGAAUGAUACCUCUUCAUCAGGAAAAUACAUUUUCAGGGGUUCGUAUUCUCCGUCCACGGGGUUUUCAACAAGGUGAGCUUCUAGUGCCUGUCCCUUGAUUGCUUUCUGAGUCACGUAGACAAUGUCAAACUCACUCAAUAGGAUUUGCCACUUGGCUAGCUUACCAGUGGGCAUGGGCUUCUGGAAGAUGUACUUCAAAGGAUUCAUCCUUGAUAUGAAAUAUGUAGUAUAGGCACAGAAAUAGUGCCUCAGUUUCUGAGCUACCCAAGUCAAAGCACAACAGGUGCGUUCUAAUAGAGAAUACCGGGCCUCGUACGAGGUGAACUGCAAUGGACAAAAUUAAACAGACUGGUUACAGAUUCUGCAGGUGAUAGCAUCUACUAUUACUGAUUUUGAUCCCUAGGAGCAUGAUAUCUAACAUUGACUGUGAAUGAAGCGAAUCAGAAUUUCACUGAUGAACCCCUAUAGGCAUGAUUUCUAGAUGUUACUGAUUUUAACACAUUACUGGAUUAUAACCACUUGGGCCCUAACACAUGAUAUCUAAAUGGUGAAAAAAACAUGCAGAACUUUAGAAUGAAAUCCUAUAGGCAGGUUAUCUAGAUGUGAAGUUGAACAAGAAGUCCUAUAGACAUGGUUUCUAAAUGCAGCUUACAGAAUUAAAAUACCAUAUAGGCAUGAUUUCUAAAUGCAGUUUGCAGAAUUAAAAUACCCUAUAGGCUUGAUUUCCAAAUGCAGUUUGCAGAAUUAAUAUACCCUCUAGGCAUGAUUUCUAAAUGCAGCUUGCAGAAUUAAAAUACCCUAUAGGCAUGAUUUCUAAAUGUAGUUUGAAUAUGUAGAAUUUAAAGUAGUCUUACAAGCAUAUUUUCUACCCUUGCAUGCAUAGUUACCCAACCUUUUUUAUUACCUACCCCAAAAUGUUUAUUACAACUUAUUACAAACCAAGAAUACUAAAUACAUCAAAAAAUACAAAGAAAAGAAUUACAACCAGAGGAAGCCUGAUUCUUGAUUUCCUCACUGAUUUAUGAGAUGAACCAACUCAAAAUACCAUUAAUCCAAAGCCUUUCUCAACCUUGAGUGUGUCAGAGUUCCCUAAGGGCUUUAAUAGGACCCCCGGCAGUGCUCACACCCAAGUUUUAUAACCAGAAUCGGGACAAGUGCAGUGUGGAAAUACCAGCCCUCAUGUGUCCAAGUUCAGAGGGAGCUCAUGGGUCCGAAGGCAAGGCUCACAUGAGGGGGGAAGAACUUAAGUCUAAGAGGAGAGUGCAAGUGCAGAAACAGAGCUUUAAGAACUAAGGAAGUAAAGAAGGGGGAAAGAGGUGUUGGGAAACAACCAUUAACACUUCAAACAAGUUGAUAAUUUCACACCAAGGGGUUUGGGAAUCCAUUGCAAGGAGCCUAUAUACUUAGGCAUGAGUCGAUUCUAGGCAUGCACAACAAUAGAGAGUGAUGUCAUGCUUGCAAAAUCAGCCAGAACAUACAACAUAUAAGGGAAACAUAGAGGUUAUGAUCCUAGGAGGAUCAAGUUUGGGUCAUGCUCAGCAAUGUUCAAUGUUGUCAUGCCCCAAACAAAUCAUAAGUAUUAAACAUACUGGGGUAGGGAUUUAGGAUUCAUAAUACAUUAAUUUAGAAUAGGAGAAUAAAUAUGGGUACUAAAUUAAAUAUAAGCAGUAGGCAGACAAGAAUGAAAGAAUCAUUGAGUAACCAUGUUGUGGUUGAUGCUGAAAACUUAAUUAGAACAUACUAGUCAAAGAAGAAAAGUGCAAUAAAGAAAAGUAGCACGACUUCAAUAUAUAGCUUUGGCAUUCAGCCAGCUAAACAGGCCACAGUACCAGUAACAAAGCAAGAGAGAGUGUUUUGAGUGUAAGUGUGAGUUCAGAACUAAAAGUGUUCGUAUGUUUGUGCUAAUGAGGGAGUAUGUAUAUAUAGUAGUUCGAAACCAUGUAAAAUAAGGCAAGAAUUAUAAUUGUAUAGUAAUUAUGGAACCAAGUAAUAAUCAGAAACAAAUCAAUGCAAGUACUCUUUUAAUUAAAGGGCAAUCAACCAACGGUAAUAGGCAAUAAAUGUUUAAGGAAAGAAAUCAAGUAGAGCAUCAUGUACAGAGUAGACAAUGAGGGGUAAGUACAUAGGGGUUCAAUUAAGGAAACAACCAAUGAAGAAUCAGUAAAAUACUCGGUUAACCAAAUAACUUAAGAAAACAAAAUAAAGUUGUAGAAUAUGGAGAUAAUCGAAAAUCAGCACAUAGUAAAUCAGGGAAUCAAGGAUUCGAAAUUACUAAUUUAAGGAGAGUAACAUGGGUUCCCAUGAAUAAGCAAUAAACCAAGUUAAAAUAGGAGAAUCGAAAGUCUAAAGGGAAAUUUUCAAAUCAAGCCAAGAGACAGGGAGCUCAGAGUCAAUCAACGAGAGAGUCACGAAUCAUGUUUUACCAUAUAAAUAGAGUGAGAUAUGAGUAACCAAACAUAGCAAGCAAAGAGGCAAGUCUUGACCAGUCAAGACGAACACAAGCACAUAGAGCUGAUGUAAGUUAGGCAUAAGACCACUCAGUAGAAACACAUUCGAAGCGAGAUAGUCACAGAAACUCAAACAAGAACAUGCCAGUCACAAAAUCAAACGAAGAAACCUAGAAAAAUUAGGGCUUUCAACAUAGGCAAGUUAAAGAGAAUAUAGAAAUCUAGAAUCAGAAGAAUCACACAAAGAGAUUUCGAAAAGGAACUUCUGCACUUAAACGAACAGUCUCAGACCCAAAACCGUAAGAUUUUUAACAAUAGAAGGGUUUCUUUAAAAAAAACAAGAUAAAUUGACAAAUCGGACAAAAACUCAAGCAAACAAAUAUUCAUUUAAUAAAUAGUUAAAAUAAAUUAGGGUUUUUAACAUGCAAACUUAGGCAGAAGGAUAAUACAGCAAAAUAUAUCAAAAAUCAGAGACAGGUUUCGAAAUAACUUAAACAAAACUUUAAUCAGAAAGAUAAGGGGUUUUGAUGGUAGAGUUUUAAAAGAAACAUUGAGAAAAAUGUUUAGAAGUUUAGAGAAAACACAGAUCUGAAUAGAUCUAGAAGAAAUCGGAAGAACCUUAGAGGCUAGGGUUUCAGAAGAACCCCAAGUGGUAAGAAAGGCUUUGAAAAUCAUCGAUCUUAGCGGAAAGUCAAGAGUCGGACUCGAAUAGCCAUGGCUGGCCAGAGAAAGGUCAAAGACGACCGGAGAAUGUCCAUAAAAUGAAAUCGACCAAGGUCUGGACCAAGAUUUCUCAAUAUCUAGCCUUGAAACCAUAAUAAUCGAGCACGCAGGAGCCAUGUGAGGUGGAUACAGGCCUCCGAUGACCUUGGAAGCCAUGGAUUUGGAAGGUUUUAGGGUUGUAGUUGAUGUCGGCGGCUAGGGUUGGAGAGGGUUUGAGAGAGGAUUGGGAGAUAAGGGGAUUCAGAGGCGGCUAGGUGUGUGAAAUGGUUAGGGUUAGGGGGUAGUUUGAGAUUAAAAAAGGAAAGGAUGGAUUAAAACGGGCGAGUGGGCGGGUUAUAAAGAUGGGUUUGGGUCGGAUUAAAUUGGAAUUGGGUUGGGGGUUCAAAUAGUUUCAAUUGAGUUUAAUUGGGGUGCCAAAUCAGGCUAAAGUUGAAAUAAAAUGGGGCUAACAUUUAAAUAGCAACUUUUCCCUGUUUGAUUUAUAAAAAUAGUAAAAUAUUCUCUGAAAAUAAAUUAAAAGUACUAAAAUGAUUAACAGUACAUAAUUAUCAAAUUAAAAUACUGGACUUAAUUUUUAUAGAUAUAAACGUAAUUAAUUCUAAAAGAGGCUAAUAUUGCAAUUAUAUGCAAUUUUGCUUUAAAAAUACUAAAUAGAUUUGCAAAAUAUGCAAAAGUUAUAUUAGCUAUAUUUUAGCAUAAAUAUGAGAAUCCAAUAAAUGGAUCACCCAAAAAUGAUAUUUUGGAAAUAAUUAUUGGUUUUUCUGGAUAAAAUAGGACAAUAAGUUGAUAUAAAAAAACCUUUAAAAAUUAAGGAAAAAUAAUAAAACAUCUGGCCAUACUUAUAUAUGUUUACAUAUGCUAUUUUGAAAAUAUUUUGCAUAUUAAAAAAAUACAGGGAAAAAUUGGGUAUCAACAAUAAUCCUGUUUCGUUUGUCACUUAAAUUGGAAAAAACUCCCUUAUACCCUUCCCGAGGGUGGUAAAAGGAGAUGUGACAAGUAGAUAUGUUAAUUAAAUGUUCCCUUUCUUCUUUUUGGAUACAUCUCCCUAUACACUGACUUUCUUCGCUGAUACAACUGUCACAGUUUACCCCAAUGCGGUUAAGAGCCUCUCGGGCUGGGUCAACUAGCUGGAUUCGAUUUGCCCAUACGCCAAGCGUGCGUGGCGUGAUCUGUCCCAGGCUCGAUGGGAAGCCAAGGACCACAGUGAGCCUUCACUCCUGUUGUAGUUGUAUUUCAUAAAAGAACUAUUAACGAUAGUGCCCUUAUUCCCAGCGCGUAUAUUUUGCAUCUGUGUAGGUCUGGGGGAGGUCCCCUUGAUAAGAGAAGCACUACUUGGUGAAGCAGGUACCCCGAAACCCGAAAAAGAGAGGAAAAGGUGAAGGGGGUCACCGACUCCUUCUCCGAAACCCAAGAAAGCCAAAGUGGGAGAACCCAUACCAUAGAGUCGAUGGCUCCUACAUUAGGACUUGAUUCCGUUGUUGUCCUACCUCGGAUUGAAGAGUCCUUUGAGGGUGCGUCGGGUGACAUCCCCGAUUUACUUGUUGGAAAAAGCUCUCCUCGAGUUGAGGUGCAAUCAUUAGGUGGUCCGAGGGAGCUUGGUUCCGAAGCUCUCCUGAAAUAAGAGACGGCCCUGGUAGAUUCGGUCGAGAUCAUUGAAGUCAGCGAUUCCCCUUCGGGAUCGGCUUUUCCCCCUAGGGAGAUGCAGGAUACCCAAAAUAAAGAAUCUUCUGAUACGAGGGUGCCUGUUAGAGAAAAGAAUGUGCUUGAAGGGCUUUCUAUUGCGCCCGAGGAAAAGCCUGAUCUUGACGUCUCGCUUAUUUUCAAUGAGAUCAACAGGCUCUAUGAGCAGGUUAUCUUUUUGUAAAAGUCUGCUUGGUGCCCUGAUUUUUGUCUUGCUAACUUCGUUUCCUUCAUGGUUUCAGGCCAAGGUGCUUUACAAUCAGACCUUCUCCAAGUUUCAAACCGAGCUGACUCGUUACGAGGGUGAACAUAAAGGACUCACCUUGGAAGCUGGUGAGCUCAGAGCUCUUUCUACUAAGAGGGAGGAGGAACUCCGUGACCUUCGGGAUUGUUUGGAGGCGGCGUCCCGAGACAUGACUCAUCUCACUAAGCAUGUCAUAUAGUUCUUGCUUGUUUUUUGUAUACAUGCUUACCCGACUUUAGUGCUUUAACAACUUCAUGUCGAUCUUUUGUAGCUUAAGAAGAAAAAUGUCCUAAAGAAGGAGGAGCUCCGAACCAGGGACUCUGGAAUUCUUGAACUCAGACAUCACGUGAGUAAGAUAGUCUUUGAGAGAGAUACCCUCCAGGGGGAGGUGGCCUCAGUUGGGCAUCAACUUGAUGAUGCAAGGACGAAGAGUAACAAGUACAAGGAUUUUCAUACUGAAUUGGCUGCUACGUUAUCCAAGGUCAGAGCUGAAAGCUGAGGAGCUCGUAUCCUCGUACAAAGAUGAUGCUGCUACUGCAAAUGCUCAGGACAGGAAAUUUUCCGAGGGGGCCGAGAUGCUAUUAACUCGGGCUGUGGGGCAUGGUUGUUUAGAAUCUCGGAGACGGACUCUCGAGGAUAUAUAUGAUGGGGGCAUUGAUUUGUCCACCGAGAUCGAGAGGGUGAAGAUCCUAGAAGAGGAGGACGCAACCCUACUUUCCUCUGAAAACGAGUCGAGCAGUGACUCAGGAGAUUGUAAAGAUGGAGGUAAGGUUCCCGAAGGGGGAGAGGCCAUGGGAAACUGGGGGUUAUGGCCGAUGCUAUGGAAAGCACAAUUUCCGAGGGAGCCGUCAAAGGCAUAGCCCCUGUGGUAGAUUAGGGUUCUAGCUUUUUUUUUUGCCGUUGUAAAGGCUUCAGACAUAGGUCUUGUAAAUGCACUUUUUUGAACCUUCCAAUAUGUAUGUAAAGGCUUUUUCAUCCUUUCUCGCUUUUCCGUUGCUUUAAAUUUUGACGUUCGUCAAUGAUUAGCUAGAUGGAUUGGGCUUCAGGGUAGGAACCCUUAGGUUUGCAAAUUAGCCCUGAGGCUUGUUGGUUAACUGUUUCGGGCUCAGUCUUCGAGUCGGAUUUCGACUCGAGCUCAUUGACCCUUAAGUUGUUAAGCUGACCCUUAAUAUAGGCUGGCGAUAGUUAACUAUUUCGGGCGUUUUUUAGUUAACUAUUUCGGGCUCAGUCUCCGAAUUGUAUUUUGACUCGAGGUCAUUGACCCUUAAGUUUUUAAGCUGGCCCUUAGAGCAUGUGUAGGGUCAGUGCGACCUCUUAAUAUAGGCUGGCGAUAGUGGAUCUUACGUGUUGGGUCGGUACGACCUCUUAAUAUAGACUUUAUUUUUCCCUCGCUAAAGACUUUUUGAAGUUUUGUGUUCACCCGACUCUUCGACAGCUUGAUUAAAGCCUCGAUUACGAGCCGUUAUGUAGCGAUAAAUGAGCACCUCGAGAGGUUUCGCUCGAUGGCUGAAUUAUUUUUAAGCCAAUUAUUUGGAGCUAAUAUGAUCGAAGCUCUUUUGCUUAUGCCAAGGGUAGCCUGAUUUGCCGAUUCUUUUCGAAGUUUUUUCAAAGUAAUUGAAGGCCUAUGAUUUUAUAGCGAUGGUUGGGCAUCCCUGAGUGAGUUUGGCCGAAGCCAUAUGACCGGAGUCAUCGAGUUUGGCCGAAGCCUUUUAGUCCCCGAGUGAAGUAGUUUCGGCGUCUAUAUCGAGGGUAUGCCUUUUUAGGUAUCUUACAAGUUCGGAUAUAUAGUUUUAACUUUAAGAUCGGGAUUAUGCCUUUUGUAAGGUUUUACAAAUUUAACAUGCCUUACUUGAGGUCUUACAGGAAAGUUACUUGGUACAAGUAUGGUUCAUGCCUUGCUCGAGAUCUUAUAGUUUUGGUGUUGCCUUAUGGAGGUCUUAUAUUGUUGACAAUGCCUUGUGGAGGUCAUAUAUUUUCUAAUAUUGCAGCAUGGAAGGCUUUCGGGCUCGAGGUUGCCCGCUUGGGGUUUUACGGCCUUGAGUUUCUGAUUGAUCGAUAGGAUGACAAUUAACGACAGUCCCCAAGACGUCGAAAGUUUUUCGGCUCUGGAGCCAUUCUUUGUAAAAUUGGUGUUGCCUCAUUGAGGGCUUACAAGUUUGAAGUUUCCAACCCGGAGGUCGUAUGGGUUCAAGUGUUUGACUUUAGUCCCCGAGUGUUUGGGAAAUUUCUGGCUUUGGAGCCAUUUCUUGUGAAAAAUAGCAGACUUCUUUGAAGCGUAAAGCGUUUUGAUGGAGAAAAAAUAUUCUUUGAUUACUUGGCACAAGAACACAUGUUUUUGUCAAGGGUUCGGUUAUUCUAUGUGGACACGAUUCGUUCGACCGUUUGGCCUGAUACAUCGUUUCCCUACUGAGACCCUCUUUGGCAUAUUCUUGACUUCUUCGAGGAGGUGAUCUACCGGGGGGAUCCCCCCAGUAUUUGAGGUUGAUUGAAGGGAAGCCUUGUAUUCUUGAGUUCUCCUUAGGUAGCAUACAUGUGUAGUCUUGUUAAAAACCUUGUCGGUAAAAUCCUUCUUGGGAUAAAAAUCAGAUCGAAGGAAAAGAGUGCAAUGUUUGCGUUAAAACCCAAGGUCUUCGAGCCGGGGGAUGUUUCGGUGCCUUUCAUCAGACACAUUAGCAGUAGUAGCGUUUGAGCAAUGAUAUGUUCCAAUUGCUCGGAAGCUAUUCGCCUUCCAUGGUACCGAGCUUGUAGGACCAUUUUCCGAUUACUUCGAGGACACAGUACGGUCCCUUCUAGUUUUGGCCUAGUUUUCCUUCAUUCGGAUUUCGAGUAUUUAGGGUGACUUUCCUCAAGACUAAGUCCCCGACACUGAAAUGUUGAAGAUUUGUUCUCCUGUUAUAGUACCUUUCGAUUCUUUGUUUUUGGGCAGCCAUUCGGACCAGCGAAGCUUCUCGCUUUUCAUCCAAUAGUUCAAGGGUCGUAGUCAUGGCCUCGUUGUUUGAGUUGUCGGUGGUGUCGGAAUCUUGCGCUUGGUUCUCCAACCUCCACCGGUAUCAAAGCCUCGACACCAUACACUAGAGAAAGAGGUGUUUCUCCUGUGCUUGCUUUUGGAGUUGUUCGAUAUGCCCAUAGCACUUCGAGUAAUAUUUCUCUCCACUUUCCCUUAGCGCUUUCCAAUUUCUUUUUUAAGUUUUGAAUGAUGGUCUUGUUUGUAGAUUUGACCUGACCAUUUGCACAUGGGUGGUAGGGUGUCGACAGGAUUCUCUUGAUUUUGUUAUCCUCGAGAAACUGUGUUACUUUGCUUUCAAUGAACUACUUCCCAUUAUCACAUGUUAUCUCAGAAGGAAUCCUGAAUCGGCACAUGAUGUGGUCCUGGAUGAAGUUAAUGACUUCUUUUUCUCUUAUCUUUUCAAAGGCCUGCGCUUCCACCUAUUUUGAGAAGUAGUCAGUCAUAAAUAAAAUAAGUCUAGCUUUACCAGGUGCCGUUGGUAGAGGUCCGACGAUAUCCAUCCCUUAUUUCAUGAACGGCCACGACAAUAAGACCGAAUGUAGCUAUUCAACGGGUUGGUGAAUCAUUGGAGCAAAUCUCUGGCAUUUGUCGCUUUUUCGGACGAAUUCUUUGGUGUCUUUUUCCAUGCUAUCCCAAUAAUAGCAUGCUAUGAUCACCUUUCGAACUAAGGAAUCAAUGCCAGAAUGAUUUUCACAGGUGCCCUCAUGGAUUUCUCGGAGCACAUAAUUUGUGUCUCCCGGCCCCAGACAUACUGCUAGAGGCCAUUGGAGGUUCUUUUUGUACAGAGUUCUGUUUUCGUCGAGCAAGAAUCGGGCUGCUUUGGUUCGUAGGACGUUCGAUUCUUUUGGAUACGUGAAUAGUUUCCCGCUUUCCAAAUAGUCAAUAUAUUUAUUUCUCCAAUCCCAUAUUAGGCUAGUGGAGUUGAUCUCGGCAUGACCUUCCUCGAUCAUGGAUUUGGAUAGCUGAACAGCAGCCCCAGGGAGUUGGUCAUCUUCUUCAAUAGACGAUCCCAGGUUUGCGAGGGCAUCGGCCUCCCUAUUCUUCUCUCGAGGUAUGUGGACCAGAGUCCAUUCUUUGAAACAGUGCAAUGUGACUUGAAUUUUUUUCAAGUAUCUUUGCAUCCUGUCUUCUCGGACCUCGAAGCUCCCAUUUACCUGAUUUACUACUAGGAGGGAAUCACAUCUUGCUUCGACGACUUCAACUCCUAGGCUUUUUUCCAAUUCCAUACCUGCAAUCAUAGCCUCAUAUUCGUCUUCAUUAUUAGUCAAUCUUGCAGUUUUUAAAGAUUGCCUGAUUAUACCGCCCGUAGGCGGCUUCAGAACUAUAUCGAGCCCAGAUCCUCUUACGUUCGAGGUGCCAUCAGUGAAUAGGGUCCACAACCUAGAAGAUGUGCCUGUUUUUAGUAAAAGUUCUUUUUGUACCUCGGGCACGAGGGAGGGCGAGAAAUCGGCCACGAAGUCUACCAGAAUUUGGGACUUGAUAGCCGUUCGAGGUUGAUAUUCGAUAUCAUAUCCCCCGAGUUUGAUGGCCCAUUUGGCCAGUUGGCCCAAUAAUUCGGGCUUAUGCAAUAUGCUUCGAAGAGGGUAUGUUAUUAAAAUGCAAAUACAAUGGCAUUGAAAGUAAGGUUUCAAUUUUCGUGAUGCGCUUAUUAACGCAAGAGCUAAUUUUUCUGGUGCGGAUACCUGGUUUCGGCAUCUCCCAGGGUUUGACUUACAUAAUAAAUAGGGAACUGCGUACCUUGUUCUUCUCGAACUAGCACCCCACUUACCGAUAUCUCGGAUACAGCCAAGUACAAAUACAGUGUCUCAUCCUCCUUUGGAGUAUGGAGCAAAGGCGGGCUAGUCAGAUAUCGCUUUAACUCCUCUAGGGCACGUUGGCAUUCCGGAGUCCAUUCAAAGUUGUUUUUCUUUUUGAGUAAGGAGAAGAAAUGAUGACUCCUGUCUGAUGAUCUCGAUAUGAAUCGGCCCAAGGCUGCUAUCCGUCCGGUCAGCCGUUGCAUGACCUUUACAUUGUUUACCUUUGUGAUUUCUUCGAUGGCCUUGAUUUUGUUGGGGUUGAUCUUGAUUCCCCUGUUUGACACCAUGAAGCCUAAGAAUUUUCCCGAACCUACUCCGAAGGCACAUUUCUCGGGAUUGAGUUUCAUGUUAUAGCUUCUGAGGAUAUCAAACGUUUCCUGCAAAUAAGUCAAAUGGUCCUCUGCAUGCAGGGACUUAACUAGCAUGUCAUCAAUAUAAACUUCCAUGGAUUUGCCUAUUUGAUGUUUGAACAUUUUAUUAACUAAGUGCUGGUACGUGGCUCCCGUGUUUUUCAGCCCGAAGGGCAUUAUAUUAUAACAAUAUGUAUUGUACUUCGUGAUGAACGAAGUCUUUUCCCUAUCCCUGGGCUUCAUCUGAAUUUGAUUAUAACCCGAGUAUGCAUCGAGAAAGGUGAGGGUCUCGUGAUCGGCCGUGGCAUCGAUCAAGCGGUCGAUGUUGGGAAAUGGGAAUGAAUCCUUGGGGCAUGCUUUAUUUAAGUCGUUAUAAUCUACGCGCAUUCUUAACUUAUUUCCCUUUUUGGGAACUACCACCACAUUGGCUAGCCAUUCGGGAUAUUUUACCUCCCUAAUAGACCCUUUCUUGAGGAGUUUUGUUACCUCUUUUGCUUUAUCGGUUUGAAUCUAGGAUCUUCGCUUAGUCGGUAGGUGGUUAUUUUCGGUGGGAUCCCUGUCAUAUCUAAAUGGGACCAAGCAAAGCAAUCGAUGUUAUUAAUAAGAAAUUGAUUGAGUUUUUUCUUGAGUUUGGGUUUUAGUCCCAUUUCCAGGUAUACCUUCCCAUCUGGGAGAUGUUCGAUCAGAACAACUUUCUCUAGUUCUUCAAUAGUCAACUUCGUCGCAACCGACUCUUCGGGGGCAACAAAGGUUCGAGGAGCGAGAAAAUCUUCUUCAUCGUCCUCUGGGGUCUGUUUGCCUCCCAGCUCUUCCGAGGUAGAGUGUGUAGAAUUCGAUGCCUCCCAGUGGACUGCGAACAUUUCAUUUGCUGCAUGUUGUUCUCCAUAUACUGUCUUUAUGCCAUCCUCUGUUGGAAACUUCAUCAUCUGAUACAGAGUUGACAGUACUUCCCUCAUGUUGUCUAUCUAUGGCCUACCAAGCAAGGUGUUGUACCUCAUGUCACCUCUGAUGAUGUGGAACUUGGCGUCCUGAACUGCACCAAACAAGUUGACCAGGAGGGUGAUCUCCCCCUUCGUUGCUUCACCGGCCAUGUUGAAGCCGUUGAGGACUCGGGAGGUAGGUACGAUCUGAUCGAGCAGGCCGAGUUGUUCUACCACCUUUGACCUGAUCACGUUGGCCGAGCUACCUGGAUCCAUGAGUACACGUUUAAUUCGAACGUUAUUCAAGAUAAACAAAAUUACCAAAGCAUCGUUAUGUGGUUGAGUCAAGGUCUCAAAAUCUAUCUCACUGAAUGCAAGGAUGUCCUCGGGUAUGCUAUCCCGAAUUAACCCUUCUGUUAUAGGGGACACUUUUACCCAUUUGAUCACGAGUCCUCGGGGAAUGACGGUCCCCCUGAUGAUCAUAUGAAUGAUGUGCUAAGGUUUUCCCGCUAUGCUUCCCCUAUCUGCUUUUUUUUCUUCCCGAGUGGGAUUUUUCUGGGUUUUCGUUGAUUUCUUUGGUGCGUACUCCCACUAAUGUGGAAACUAUCAUUAACAUGUUGGGCGAUGUGUGAGGUCGUACCCACGGGGGUCGGUUUUGGUGCGCUCUCGGGGUUUUGUGGUGGUACACCAAUACCUGGAAUAGCUACACCAUUCUCUGCAUGGUCUUCAAGACCGUUGUUUUUAUAUGCAUUCACUAAGUCAGACAUUUUGGCCUAAAAUCAAAGAUUCUGGGACAAGAAAAGUGUGAAGGAUAACUUGCAUUACGUAGUAAACUAGCAAGAAAACAACCACUAUUAUUUUUAGCCCCACGGUGGGCGCCAAACUAUUUACCCUGAAAAUGGUAAUUACAAUUAGAUUUGAUUUUGUGGUUCUAAACAUACAUGAUUCAUUUUUAUGCUAGUUGUUAAACAAUAGAUACUGAGUGUGACACUAGAAAGUAAGCUAAGAGCUUAAAGGCAGUAUGUUAGGCAAACCGAAAGGCUGAGGAUCGGGGCCUCGAGCCCGGUUAUACGGGCCUUAGGGUCGAGCUAAAUGUUAGGCUGUGACCGGCUGAUGAAGGACUAACAGCAUUAAGAGCUUUGAUGAGGGCUCUUUAUGAUCAAUAAUAAGUAAUAAAUGAAGAACAAACAAUAGAACACAACAGAUGUAAGCAAUAAACAUAAAUAAUAGAAUUAAGAGAGAAUAUGUUAGAGAGCAGAGAAAAUGUUCUUGUAUUGAAUGUUGUAAGUGAUGAUGAAUGUCAUCCGCCCAAAAAAAGAGCAAAGAGUCCCCUUUAUAUAGGAGGGGAAACCCCAACAUAGUACAUGUGCGUUUAUUACAAAGAAAUGUAGCUAGUUCAGCUACUUAGGAGCCUAGUACAGACUGGUACUAUUCUUGUAGGUGUUGUCAACUUUGCCCACGAGCCUAGAAAACUACCCGUGUACCCACGAUAACCAUCGAUUUAGGCUGCCCCGCGGUCGGGCAUAAAGAAUCCAUGAGGUCAGAAUCGGGCCUUUGAGGUGAAGCUAUGGAAAGACAUAAUGGUUGUAAAAUCGGGCUCUCCGAUUUUAUCUGCAUACAUACUCACAAAAAUUAAAUCUGAAUUUAAAUCGACUUCUUCAAGCUUAUGGAUUAAUGAUGAACUAUUAUAACUGUUACAACCCAUUUCCACAUGUGUUAGUUCAUGCCAUAUAUUAGUUAACAUAAAUCCAAGAAGGAAUUAUCUUUGAGAUGAUAAGAAGUCAAUCCUAUUGGUCUUAAGUGAUACAAGAGUGUAUAAGGGUGAUUAACCAGUAUUAGAAGUUAAACGAAUCAAGGAUGUUGUAACUCGAAUUUUCAGGUAAUCUAGCGGUGCUUAAUACACUCAAGAGGUCAUUUAUGAAGGUAUUUUAAUCAUAUAAUAUCCGUAUCAUAAGUCUUGAAGUCAAACGAGUUAUGAAACAAAAGUCGACAAAAGUUGUCGCAACUUAGGUUCAUAAUUUUACUUAAACAUUAGGUCAAAUGUUUCUAAUCUUUUCUCAUAAUUUACAAGGAAUUACGGAGUGAUAUACCAACAAAAUUAAAGAUCUAUGAGUCUAGUUUCCAACUCAUUAAACCGUUCAUCGAUACGAUCUCGGAGUAGAGAGAUAUUCGCGUUUUCGCGAGACUGCGCCAAGCACCUCUCUAUGGGGCCCACUAAGUCGGUUUAAGAUAUUUGGACCUAUAUAGGAUGACUACAAACCGUUUUAAGUCAUUUCUUUUCACUAUUUUCAGACCUUAGAACCCUAAGAACAUCCUCUCAAGGUUCUCUCAAGAUUCAAGACCCNNNNNNNNNNNNNNNNNNNNNNNNNAAUACAUUGGAAGGUGAAACGGCUCUAUGAGGUAAGCAAUAAUUUGAGAAUACUCCUCCUUAAUACAAAAUGGUGAUAUGUAGAUAAUGUAAAUACGCAUAAUGCUUUGUGUAGCCUUGUGAAGCCAUAUGUUGGGAUUAAUUACUUGCAAGUUUUGCUAGUGACCAUUUUAUAGGGGAAAAUUGAUUGGAAAUUUCCAUUGGAAUCCACGAUGAUUUAAACUCCCCAUAAACCCUUACACUCGAGGACGAAUGUUCCUAAGGGGGGAGGGUGUUACAACCCAUAUCCACAUGUGUUAGUUCAUGCCAUAUAUUAGUUAACAUAAAUCCAAGAAGGAAUUAUCUUUGAGAUGAUAAGAAGUCAAUCCUAUUGGUCUUAAGUGAUACAAGAGUGUAUAAGGGUGAUUAACCAGUAUUAGAAGUUAAACGAAUCAAGGAUGUUGUAACUCGAAUUUUCAGGUAAUCUAGCGGUGCUUAAUACACUCAAGAGGUCAUUUAUGAAGGUAUUUUAAUCAUAUAAUAUCCGUAUCAUAAGUCUUGAAGUCAAACGAGUUAUGAAACAAAAGUCGACAAAAGUUGUCGCAACUUAGGUUCAUAAUUUUACUUAAACAUUAGGUCAAAUGUUUCUAAUCUUUUCUCAUAAUUUACAAGGAAUUACGGAGUGAUAUACCAACAAAAUUAAAUAUCUAUGAGUCUAGUUUCCAAAUCAUUAAACCGUUCAUCGAUACGAUCUCGGAGUAGAGAGAUAUUCGCGUUUUCGCGAGACUGCGCCAAGCACCUCUCUAUGGGGCCCACUAAGUCGGUUUAAGAUAUUUGGACCUAUAUAGGAUGACUACAACCCGUUUUAAGUCAUUUCUUUUCACUAUUUUCAGACCUUAGAACCCUAGGAACAUCCUCUCAAGGUUCUCUCAAGAUUCAAGACCCAAAAAAAGGGCAAACCACACAAAUCAAGUGUCGGGAAUUCCGUGGCGCUAGUAAGUCUCUUGUUCUUCUUGUUGUUGCUCAUUUUUGUGUCGUUCCAGCCCGUGUGGGAGGUUGUUUUAAAGGGUUUAUGUUCUGUAAAUACUCCCUCAUGUUCUUAAUAUCAAUCCUAGGUAAUUUCAAGCCUUCUAAAGUGAUUCUAGUGCCGAAAAACACUAAUUGAUCGCUAGUUUCGUUUUUUUUGUUGUGUGGCAGCAUUGGAGGGAUAUUUCAUGGAAAUUUAAGGUCAAAUUGGACUUGUUCUUUCUGUAUAAAGGUAAGGAACCUCUUACUCUAUAUGUAUUUAAGAUUAUCCAAGUUGCGGCUAAGCCAUUGAAGCUAGAACUUGUGAGAUAUAUAUCGAAAGGCUUGGUAGUAAUGUUAUUGUUUUGUGGACUGUUUUGUGUUAUUGUUGGGCUGCGUAUUUUACUACUAUCUUGUGGAGUUUUGGAGGAGGAAGGGUGUGGAGAAACACCAUAUAUAUGUAGGUUUAUGGGCUGAUAGUUAUUCGUAUCAUUUCCAGGUUGUUUGAUACGACUAUGGUGGUCGUCGUAUGUAUGGAGUGAUUAGGCUGUGUGUGGACUAUAUUGGGAGACUCAAUAUGUUUAUUAUUGAUGUUGUUUGGGCUGUUUGGUGACUAUUUUGAAUGGUGUGAGGUCAUAUAUAUAGGGUAGGUGCUGUCCGUUUCAUCGUAAAAUAGGUUGUGGUCGAUACAUAAUAGUUAUGACGCUUAAAUGAUAACGAUAGUAUCGUUUCUCUUAUUGUAGACUAAGGAGUUUUGACAAUUGCAUAGCUUGAGAUUGGGGAAGUAUAUACAAGGU